UUAUCAAUCUGUUAUUUUCCAGAUUUUGGCAAAUUUUGAUGAAUAUAAUUGUUAAGUGACUUGGAAACAAGGUUCCACUUUGGAUUUAGGUAACUGCAUGAAAUUCCUGGUGACACAUACCAGGUAUCACUAGUGUCUGGCCUUUGGCGGGAAGCUCAUUCAAAUGGUGUAGAAGAAUUCAGAAAUUGAUACAGAAACCCUUUCUUGUGAAAGACAUCAACA
rnacentral:lncRNA from 1 species